UGAGCACAUCCAGAGACAGAUCAUUCAGCAGUCUCAGAAGCUGCAGGACAUGGAGCAUCGCUCCACACGAGACACACAGAGCCGACAGGAGCUGGAGGUGCUGCGCAUGCAGAGUCUGGAGCAGCUGCAGGAAGACAUGGAGGACAGACAGAGUCAACUCAGGGCUCUGAGCGCACAGCUCGAGAAAAACAGCAAAGAGACAGAGCUACGGCAACAACGCAGCCACAAGCAAAUCAAACACGUGAGAGGUAAGCUUCAUCAGGAGCGGAGCCUGAAACUAGAAGCAUUCCAGCAGGUGGACACACUACAAAGUCAGAUCCACAGUUUUGAGUCAGCGUUGUGUAAAUCUACAUUUACUUCAG
rnacentral:lncRNA from 1 species